UACGAAGGGGCUAGCGUUGCUCGGAAUCACUGGGCGUAAAGGCGCGUAGGCGGCCGAUUAAGUCGGGGGUGAAAGCCUGUGGCUCAACCACAGAAUUGCCUUCGAUACUGGUUGGCUUGAGACCGGAAGAGGACAGCGGAACGUGCGAGUGUAGAGGUGAAAUUCGUAGAUAUUCGCAAGAACACCAGUGGCGAAGGCGGCUGUCUGGUCCGGUUCUGACGCUGAGGCGCGAAAAGCGUGGGGAGCAAACAGG
rnacentral:rRNA from 1 species